CGAACGGGUGAGUAACGCGUGAGCAACCUGCCUAUGACAGUGGGAUAGCCUCGGGGAACCGGGAUUAAUACCGCAUAAAAUCGUAGAAACACAUGUUUUAACGGUCAAAGAUUUAUCGGUCAUAGAUGGGCUCGCGUCUGAUUAGCUAGUUGGUGAGAUAACAGCCCACCAAGGCGACGAUCAGUAGCCGGUCUGAGAGGAUGAACGGCCACAUUGGAACUGAGACACGGUCCAA
rnacentral:rRNA from 1 species